rnacentral:rRNA from 1 species
GAUCCUGGCUCAGGACGAACGCUGGCGGCGUGCUUAACACAUGCAAGUCGAACGGAGCACCCUUGAUUGAGGUUUCGGCCAAAUGAUAGGAAUGCUUAGUGGCAGACUGGUGAGUAACGCGUGAGGAACUUGCCUUUCAGAGGGGGACGAACAGUUGGAAACGAACUGCUAAUACCGCAUGACGCAUUUUGUAUCGCAUGGUCGAAAUAGCCAAAGAAUUAUUCGCUGAAAG